UAUCCGGAUUUAUUGGGCGUAAAGGGCUCGUAGGCGGCUCGUCGCGUCCGGUGUGAAAGUCCAUCGCUUAACGGUGGAUCUGCGCCGGGUACGGGCGGGCUGGAGUGCGGUAGGGGAGACUGGAAUUCCCGGUGUAACGGUGGAAUGUGUAGAUAUCGGGAAGAACACCGAUGGCGAAGGCAGGUCUCUGGGCCGUCACUGACGCUGAGGAGCGAAAGCGUGGGGAGCGAACAGGAUUAGAUACCCUGGUAGUCCACGCCGUAAACGGUGGACGCUGGAUGUGGGGCACGUUCCACGUGUUCCGUGUCGGAGCUAACGCGUUAAGCGUCCCGCCUGGGGAGUACGGCCGCAAGGCUAAAACUCAAAGAAAUUGACGGGGGCCCGCACAAGCGGCGGAGCAUGCGGAUUAAUUCGAUGCAACGCGAAGAACCUUACCUGGGCUUGACAUGUUCCCGACGACGCCAGAGAUGGCGUUUCCCUUCGGGGCGGGUUCACAGGUGGUGCAUGGUCGUCGUCAGCUCGUGU
rnacentral:rRNA from 1 species